AUUUUUUUAAGUCAAUCAUUCCUAAGCAUAUUUAUUUAUUUAUUACUGGCAUUUAUAAAGUGCCAACAGAUUCCACAAUGCUGUACAUACAAUAUGCACAGAUAAUACAAAAGGAAAAGAGGGCCCUGCCAUGAGCGGAGAUCUAGCCAUUGUAGCUCCUUUUUACAAAGUGCUUCGAUAGAGAGCCCGUGAGCUUACAAUUUAAAGGAUAGAAUGUAGAUUUGAGACAAGAGGUGGCAGGGGGAAUUUGGAAGUGAUGGCCUGAAAAAAGUAACAGAAGCUUGAAGCUGUCACUAAGAUGUAAAGGGAAGUCAUUUAGUCAUCUUCUACGCUUCAGACAAUACCUGAAAGUUGCAGGUAAACUCAGUACUGCUGUUUGCAGACUACAUUUCCCAUAAUACUCAGGAGGUAUGUAGGUAUAGGACUAGUAAACAUGUUUAUGAGCAUAAUAAAGUGAAAAUACGGAAAAACAGUCCAAACUCUCUCACUCCAAACUAGAACCAUUUUUCAAUGCACUAGAUGGUAAGUAGGUCAAUCCAGAUGUUGUGGACUAGAUCUCCACUGAUGCUAAGCCAGCAUUAUGGCGGUCAGCGCAUUAUGGGAGGUGUAGUCCACACAAGUUGCGCUAGAUCAAGCAUGUCAAACUCAAAGGCUAACACCAGUCAAAUAAACAAGGUUUAAGUUUACGUGGGCCGCAAAAAAACAAAAACGUAGAAACGUAGGUUUAUUUAGAAAAUUACAGUAUAAAAAAGUUGCCUAACUGACACUGUAUGUCCUGACGCUCGUAGGGCUUCAAAGUAAACAAAAGAGCAAAUUUAUUUUUAAGGAGAUGUGCAUUUGCAUAUAACCAAUGUUUCAGUCCAACUACCUUGACAUAUUAAGAAAAGUUUGGUAAUGGGAUUAAAAUGGUGAAUGUAUGCUGUUGUACAGCUGUAAAAAAUAAAUGAGUUAUCU